rnacentral:rRNA from 1 species
UGGGGAAUAUUGCACAAUGGGCGCAAGCCUGAUGCAGCCAUGCCGCGUGUAUGAAGAAGGCCUUCGGGUUGUAAAGUACUUUCAGCGGGGAGGAAGGUGUUGAGGUUAAUAACCUCAGCAAUUGACGUUACCCGCAGAAGAAGCACCGGCUAACUCCGUGCCAGCAGCCGCGGUAAUACGGAGGGUGCAAGCGUUAAUCGGAAUUACUGGGCGUAAAGCGCACGCAGGCGGUCUAUCAAGUCGGAUGUGAAAUCCCCGGGCUCAACCUGGGAACUGCAUUCGAAACUGGCAGGCUAGAGUCUUGUAGAGGGGGGUAGAAUUCCAGGUGUAGCGGUGAAAUGCGUAGAGAUCUGGAGGAAUACCGGUGGCGAAGGCGGCCCCCUGGACAAAGACUGACGCUCAGGUGCGAAAGCGUGGGGAGCAAACA